GACGAACGCUGGCGGCGUGCUUAACACAUGCAAGUCGAACGAUGAAGAAAAGAAUCGAAGCUUCGGCAGAAAUUCAUUUCGGAUUAGUGGCAGACGGGUGAGUAACGCGUGAGCAACCUACCUCUUACAAAGGGAUAGCCUCGGGAAACCGGGAUUAAUACCAUAUAACAUUGUGACGAAGCAUUUCGAUGCAAUCAAAGCUACGGCGGUAAGAGAUGGGCUCGCGUCCCAUUAACCGGAUGGUGAGGUAACGGCUCACCAUAGUGACGAUGGGUAACCGGCCUGAGAGGGUGAACGGUCACACUGGAACUGAGACACGGUCCAGACUCCUACGGGAGGCAGCAGUGGGGAAUAUUGCACAAUGGAGGGAACUCUGAUGCAGCGACGCCGCGUGAGUGAUGAAGGAAUUAGUUUCGUAAAACUCUGUUCUAUGGGAAGAAAAGGACUGUACCAUAGGAGAAAGCUCCGGCUAAAUACGUG
rnacentral:rRNA from 1 species